ensembl:snRNA U1 U1 spliceosomal RNA
AAAAUUACGAAAGAAUGUAACCUUUACUUGAUGACAAAGGUGGUUUUCCCAGGGCAAGAGUUAUCCAUUACACUCUGGAUGCGCUGAGCCCUGCACAUUCCUCCACAUGUGGGAAACUCAAAUGCAUGAUUUGUGGUAGACGAUGAGUGCAUUGACGUUCUCCCCUGAC